rnacentral:lncRNA from 1 species
CCGGGCACUGCAAGGACAGAAGCAGGCGAUGCACAGAGGGAGCUCUCGCGGUCUUGCCCAACCGUUUCUCAUAGGCAAGAGUUCCAGAGAUGAUGUUUCUCUUUCCUGGGCCAAGGUUUAAUCUUUGUAUUUCAAAAUACAUUUCUCCAUUUUUCAACUUAGAUUUUCAUCAGAUGCCUGCAAGAGAAUAAUAUACCCACCAGUUAGUCAGCUGCUUCAUCUGUCAUUUUUAUGAAGGGAUGUCAUGGUUGGACUGAGCAAAAUUGCCUGCAAAAAAACAUCUUGGAAAAAUAUCAGGAGAGAUUAAAGAAGAAAGAACAUAUACAGUCUCAAAUCACAUUAGUAGCCUAAAACAGUGCCCCUGAGUCACUUUCUUUAAAAAAUGAUUGAGUCAAAGUAGCAUUGAAGAGGACACAUUCCAAAUGUUAGCUAUUUACUUUUUUAAAGACUUGAUUAAUUAGUAAUUUACAAAGUAAGAUAGAAACACAAAGGAGGUAUUCAUGAAAAAAUGAUAUUCCUUCUUUCAGGAUUUAAUCAAACUCCUAAAAUUCCCAACGUUGAUCCCAGGAUUCUUGGCUAACAGCAUCAACUGCAAUGCUGAGGUUUAGGCUGGCUAUACUCUGAGGCUAGGGUUAGAGAGAAAUGAAUCUACUAAUACAUUAAGCCACUAUGUCAAUUUCUUACAACUUUGAAAAUAAAAUCUUUUUGAUCCUUUCUAAAGCA